rnacentral:rRNA from 1 species
GACGAACGCUGGCGGCGUGCUUAACACAUGCAAGUCGAACGAUGAAGAAGAGAAACGCGAACUUCGGUUCAAAUGUCACUUCGGAUUAGUGGCAGACGGGUGAGUAACGCGUGAUCAACCUACCUCUUACAAAGGGAUAGCCUCUGGAAACCGUGAUUAAUACCAUAUGACACAUUCAUAAGUCAUCUUAAGAAUGUUAAAGCUACGGCGGUAAGAGAUGGGCUCGCGUCCCAUUAGCUGGUUGGUGAGGUAACGGCCCACCAAGGCGACGAUGGGUACACGGGAAGAGAGACACAGUGCUCACACUGGAAGUGAGCAGCAGUCGAGAAUACUGCGGGAGGGGGCAGUGGCGAAUAUUGCAAAACCGAGGGAGUGAAGAAGGAGCGCCGGCGGGUAAGCGAUGAAGGUAUUAGAGAAAUAAAGCUGUGUUAUAUGGGAAGAAAAGGACUGUACCAAAGGAGAAAGCCCCGGCUAAAUACGUG